GAAGAGUUUGAUCAUGGCUCAGAUUGAACGCUGGCGGCAGGCUUAACACAUGCAAGUCGAGCGGAAACGAUGGGAGCUUGCUCCCAGGCGUCGAGCGGCGGACGGGUGAGUAACGCGUAGGAAUCUACCCAGUAGCGGGGGAUAGCCCGGGGAAACUCGGAUUAAUACCGCAUGAGCCCUACGGGGGAAAGAUGGCCUCUUCUUGAAAGCUAUCGCUAUUGGAGGAGCCUGCGUUGGAUUAGCUUGUUGGUGGGGUAAUGGCCUACCAAGCCUACGAUCUAUAGCUGGUCUGAGAGGAUGAUCAGCCACACUGGGACUGAGACACGGCCCAGACUCCUACGGGAGGCAGCAGUGGGGAAUAUUGGACAAUGGGGGCAACCCUGAUCCAGCAAUGCCGCGUGUGUGAUGAAGGCCCUAGGGUUGUAAAGCACUUUCGCCGGUGACGAUGAUGACGGUAACCGGAUAAGAAGCCCCGGCUAACUCCGUGCCAGCAGCCGCGGUAAUACGGAGG
rnacentral:rRNA from 1 species